UCUGCCUGGUAGUGGGGGAUAACUUGCCGAAAGGUAAGCUAAUACCGCGUACGCCCUACGGGGGAAAGCAGGGGAUCUUUGGACCUUGCGCUAUCAGAUGAGCCCAGGUCGGAUUAGCUAGUUGGUGAGGUAAUGGCUCACCAAGGCGACGAUCCGUAGCUGGUCUGAGAGGAUGAUCAGCCACACCGGGACUGAGACACGGCCCGGACUCCUACGGGAGGCAGCAGAGGGGAAUAUUGGACAAUGGGGGGAACCCUGAUCCAGCCAUGCCGCGUGUGUGAAGAAGGUCUUCGGAUUGUAAAGCACUUUAAGUUGGGAGGAAGGGCUCCGGGUUAAUACCCUGUGAGUUUUGACGUUACCAACAGAAUAAGCACCGGCUAACUUCGUGCCAGCAGCCGCGGUAAUACGAAGGGUGCGAGCGUUAAUCGGAAUUACUGGGCGUAAAGCGCGCGUAGGUGGUUCAAUAAGUUGGAAGUGAAAUCCCCGGGCUUAACCUGGGAAUUGCUUUCAAAACUAUUGGGCUAGAGUACAGUAGAGGGUAGUGGAAUUUCCUGUGUAGCGGUGAAAUGCGUAGAUAUAGGAAGGAACAUCAGUGGCGAAGGCGACUACCUG
rnacentral:rRNA from 1 species